UACGUAGGCAGCAAGCGUUGUUCGGAGUUACUGGGCGUAAAGGGUGUGUAGGCGGUUGGAUAAGUGUGGUGUGAAAUCUCCCGGCUUAACUGGGAGGGUGCGCUACAAACUGUCUGACUAGAGUGUGGGAUGGGUAAGUGGAAUUCCUGGUGUAGCGGUGAAAUGCGUAGAGAUCAGGAGGAACACCCGUGGCUAAGGCGGCUCUCUAGUACGGUACUGACGCUGAGACGCGAAAGCGUGGGGAGCGAACAGG
rnacentral:rRNA from 1 species